rnacentral:rRNA from 1 species
GACGAACGCUGGCGGCGUGCUUAACACAUGCAAGUCAAGGGGGCCCAGCAAUGGGCAACCGGCGAACGGGUGCGUAACACGUGAGCAACCUACCGAACUGUGGGGGAUAGCCGGCCUAACGGCCGAGUAAUACCGCAUACGCUCUCAGUGAGGCAUUUCAUUGAGAGGAAACCUACGGGACAGAUCGAGGGGCUCGCGGCCUAUCAGCUAGUUGGCGAGGUAACGGCUCACCAAGGCAACGACGGGUAGCUGGUCUGAGAGGAUGGCCAGCCACAUUGGGACUGAGAUACGGCCCAGACUCCUACGGGAGGCAGCAGUGGGGAAUUGUUCGCAAUGGGCGAAAGCCUGACGACGCAACGCCGCGUGGAGGACGAAGAUUUUCGGAUCGUAAACUCCUUUUCGAUCGGGACGAAUGACUGGUGGCCCAAUACGCCAUCAGAGUGACGGUACCGAGAGAAGAAGCCCCGGCUAACUCCGUGCCAGCAGCCGCAAGU